AUGGAAAAGAAUAAAAGUCCAGGGCUAGAUGAAUUUGCCGUUGAAUUCUAUCAAAAUUUUUGGGAGAUGGUCAAAAAUGACCUGAAAAAUAUAUUGCAUGAUUUCCAUAGUGGAAAAGUUGACCUAGCUAGGCUUAACUAUGGAAUCAUUACCUUGGUCCCUAAGGUAAAAGAUGCUAAACAGAUUCAAAAAUUCAGACCCAUCUGUGUGCUGAAUGUUAGUUUCUAAAUCAUUACUAAGGUCUUGAUGAAUAGACUUAGUAAAGUGGUUAACCCCAUAAUCUCUCUUAUCCAAACAGCCUUUGUCAAAGGCAGGUAUAUUAUGGAGGGAGUGGUUAUCUUACAUGAAGCCUUAAAUUCUAUCCAUACUAAAAAGCAAAAUGCUAUGCUAUUCAAGGUUGACUUUGAAAAAGCAUAUGAUAAGAUUAAAUGGACUUUUGUCCGCAAAAUGUUGAAACUGAAAAACUUCCCUGACAAAUGGUGUGAUUGGGUGAUGGACACACCAUGA
rnacentral:rRNA from 1 species